GCGGAGGUAGCAAAGUGGCUAUGCAACCGGCUGCAGACCGGCUUACGGGGGUUCGAAUCCCUUCCUCCGCU
rfam:Candidatus Altiarchaeum sp. CG2_30_32_3053 cg_3.0_sub100_scaffold_373_c, whole genome shotgun sequence.